GCAAACUUGGUCAUUUAGAGGAAGUAAAAGUCGUAACAAGGUUUCCGUAGGUGAACCUGCGGAAGGAUCAUUAUUGAACGAAAUUAAACAGGCUGUCGCUGGUUCCUCGGAGCAUGGUGCACGCCUUGUUUUAUUUUACACUUUUCCUCCAGUGCACCUAGUGGUAGAGCUCUACCUUUCCAAGGCAACGAAAGGAAAUCAGCAGCACUUCAUUCCUUUUGAAGCGCAGCUUUUCUUUGCAAAGUUGCUUUGGAUGAUGGAUGGUCUCUACUGUAUUUGUUUACCACACCGUAUAAAUGUAUCAGAAAUGUUGAGCAGAAAGACGUGUGAAAUUCAUGUCUUUUCUUAAACUACACAUAACUUUCAACAACGGAUCUCUUGGCUCUCGCAUCGAUGAAGAACGCAGC
rnacentral:misc_RNA from 1 species